rnacentral:rRNA from 1 species
UAACCUGGUUGAUCCUGCCAGUAGUCAUAUGCUCAGUUCAAGGGCUAAGCCAUGCAUGUCUCAGUGUACACGGAUUGAGAGUGGGUCUGUGAAUGGCUCCUUACAUCAGCAGUCAUCUCUGUGAUAGAGUGUGGAUGAUGCCAGACUUGCCAGGCAUCCCAUGGACAUCCUCCAAAACCUGGUGGCUAAUACACGGAAGCAACAGUCCCCUGUGGAAGCAUAUUGGCCUUUGGAAUGCCCCUCCCUGCUGACAAGGGCCCAGCAGUGGAUUGCAGCCAGCCGUCUGGAAGACCAUGCGCCUGGCCAAAGGCAGUAUGCCCCCUGUGGUUGACUCAGGCUGAUCCCCCUGUGGACACCUGCACUGGCAGCAUCUGAAGGUGAGGCAACCCCUCACUGCUAGCUUGAUCACAAGAACUUCUGACCUAUCAGCCUGGACUGUGGUGUAGUGGACCACAGUGGCAGUAACGGGUAACGGAGAAUCUGGGUUUGAUUCCGGAGAGGGAGCCUGAGAGACGGCUACCACUACCAAGGUGGGCAGCAGGCGCGCAAAUUGCCCAAUACAGACACAUCCUGUGAGGCAGCAACGAACCGCAACAAUCUUGCCAGGCUCUUUCUCAUCAAAGCCAGCGGGAUCUGUAAUGGAUGCUAUCCAAACCCAGUGAUGAGUACCAACUGGAGGGCAAGUCUGGUGCCAGCAGCUGCGGUAAUUCCAGCUCCAAGGGCGUAUACUAACAUUGCUGCUGUUAAAACACUUGUAGUCUGCCACUGGGUUGCAGGUGCUGCUGGGCGGCCAACUGUGCCUGGCCUGCCCCCCCUCAAAAGGGGGCAGCAGGUGCAUUGGGACACAACCCCUGGCAGUAUGCUCCUGCACCCACAUUGUCACAAGGAUGGUGAGACCUGCUCCUGCAAGGAGUCCCCUUCAGUGGGGGCCCCAAACAGCAACACACCCCAAGCUUGUCAAGGCCUUCAGGGACACAGUCCAGCACUGUGCAACCUCCCCAGUCUGCUACCGGAGUCCACCAUCGCAGUCACCGUGGAAAACUCAGUGUGCUCAAAGCAUCCAUCCUUGGCUGGAUGUCCAUCCGUGGAAUGACAAAGCACCGCCCAGAUGGGCCGCGGAGUUGUGCUGGCCUUGGAGCCCAUGCAGGACAAUCUGAUGCUGUGAGAUGGCACCUAGCUUGCCCCUUGGCCUCUGUGGGUGUGCUCUACCUUCACUGGUGUGCCACCCCAGGGUCAGAGGCACUAUGUCAGGCUAUGCAAGUCAUUAACUGGAGAUGAUGGGACCACUCAAGGUGGAAGAUAUUGCAGCGCCAGAGGUGAAAUUCUUAGACCGCCGCAAGAUCCCCUGCGGCGAAGGCGUUCCACAUGUCUGGAUUCGUCGAUCAAGAAUGAGAGCCUGGGGAGCAAAGGUGAUUAGACACCUCCGUAGUCCAGAGCCGUAAACCAUGCCGGCUGGGUGAUGAUGGGAGAUGCAAGGCAGCCCCACCACCACCUAUGCCCCAACCCCUGCAACGAGAAAUCCAAGCCCUUGGGUUCAGGGGGGAGUACUGCUGCAAGGCUGAAACUUAAAGGAAUUGACGGAAUGGCACCACAAGGCGUGGAGUAUGCGGCUUAAUUUGACUCAACACGGGGAAGGUUACCAGGUCAGGACAUGGCUGGGAUGGACAGAUUGAGAGCUCUUUCUUGAUGCCUUGGAUGGUGGUGCAUGGCCGCUCCUGAUUGGUGGAGUGAUUUGUCUGGUUGAUUCCGAUAACGAGUGAGACAUCUACCUCCCACUAGCUCCUGUCACGCAAAACCCAUGUAGGGUGGAUGGCAACACCUCCCCCAAUGGGGCCCCUCCAGGCUCCUUGGGUGGAAGCCCUUCUGGGGGUGGGAGUCCCUCCCAUGUGUGCCAAGAUCCCCCGAGUGGCAGGGUCAACAAGCUUCUCUGAGGUGCUGAGCGUCACUUCCCUACAGCGCUAGCAUGCGAGAUACAACAGCAGGUCUGUGAUGCUCCCAGAUGUCCUGGGCCGCACGCGCACUACAUUGACACAGCCAGGGUGUCUGAUCCAAGAGUGCUCUUAGCACUGGAUUGCCCUGAAGAGGGUGAGAAACCAUGCCAGACUGUGUUGUCCUGGGGAUAGAUGAUUGCAACUGUCUGCCUUGAACGAGGAAUGCCUUGUAAGCGUGUGUCAUCAGCGCACCCUGAAUACGUCCCUGCCAUUUGUACACACCGCCCGUCGUUGCUACCGAUGGUGAUGGGGCAGAGCCAUCCGGAGGUGCCACACCCCCUCCCACAGGAGGGCCUUGGUGUGAGCCAAAAUUGGGCAAUGUCAAGUCACUAGAGGAAGCAAAAGUCGUAACAAGGUGCUUGUAGGUGAACCUGGCAGAAGGAUCAA